rnacentral:rRNA from 1 species
AGAGUUUGAUCAUGGCUCAGGACGAACGCUGGCGGCGUGCUUAACACAUGCAAGUCGAGCGGUAAGGCCCUUUCGGGGGUACACGAGCGGCGAACGGGUGAGUAACACGUGGGUGACCUGCCCUUAGCUCUGGGAUAAGCCCGGGAAACUGGGUCUAAUACCGGAUAUGACUCCACGGUGCAUGUCGUGGGGGUGGAAAGCCUUGUGCGGCUGAGGAUGGGCCCGCGGCCUAUCAGCUUGUUGGUGGGGUGAUGGCCUACCAAGGCGACGACGGGUAGCCGGCCUGAGAGGGCGACCGGCCACACUGGGACUGAGACACGGCCCAGACUCCUACGGGAGGCAGCAGUGGGGAAUCUUGCGCAAUGGGCGAAAGCCUGACGCAGCGACGCCGCGUGAGGGAUGACGGCCUUCGGGUUGUAAACCUCUUUCAGCUCCGACGAAGCGGAAGUGACGGUAGGAGCAGAAGAAGCACCGGCCAACUACGUGCCAGCAGCCGCGGUAAUACGUAGGGUGCAAGCGUUGUCCGGAAUUAUUGGGCGUAAAGAGCUCGUAGGCGGUCUGUCGCGUCGGCUGUGAAAACUCGGGGCUCAACUCCGAGCUUGCAGUCGAUACGGGCAGGCUAGAGUUCGGCAGGGGAGACUGGAAUUCCUGGUGUAGCGGUGAAAUGCGCGAUAUCAGGAGGAACACCGGUGGCGAAGGCGGGUCUCUGGGCCGAUACUGACGCUGAGGAGCGAAAGCGUGGGGAGCGAACAGGAUUAGAUACCCUAGUAGUCC